rnacentral:rRNA from 1 species
UACGUAGGGUCCGAGCGUUGUCCGGAAUUACUGGGCGUAAAGAGCUCGUAGGUGGUUUGUCGCGUUGUUCGUGAAAACUCACAGCUCAACUGUGGGCGUGCGGGCGAUACGGGCAGACUUGAGUACUGCAGGGGAGACUGGAAUUCCUGGUGUAGCGGUGGAAUGCGCAGAUAUCAGGAGGAACACCCGUGGCGAAAGCGGCUCUCUGGGACGGUACUGACGCUGAGGAGCGAAAGCGUGGGGAGCGAACAGG